GAGUUUGAUCAUGGCUCAGGACGAACGCUGGCGGCGUGCUUAACACAUGCAAGUCGAACGGGACUGCUACGAAGGAGUUUUCGGACAACGGAGUAGUAGUUUAGUGGCGGACUGGUGAGUAACGCGUGAGGAACCUGCCUUUCAGAGGGGGACAACAGUUGGAAACGACUGCUAAUACCGCAUGACGCAUACUCGGGACAUCCCGGGGAUGCCAAAGAUUUAUCGCUGAAAGAUGGCCUCGCGUCUGAUUAGCUAGUUGGUGAGGUAACGGCCCACCAAGGCGACGAUCAGUAGCCGGACUGAGAGGUUGACCGGCCACAUUGGGACUGAGAUACGGCCCAGACUCCUACGGGAGGCAGCAGGUGGGGAAUAUUGGGCAAUAGACGCAAGUCUGACCCAGCAACGCCGCGUGAAGGAAGAAGGCUUUCGGGUUGUAAACUUCUUUGACAGGGGAAGAGCAGAAGACGGUACCCUAGAAAACAAGCCACGGCUAACUACGUGCCAGCCGCCGCAGUAAG
rnacentral:rRNA from 1 species